UCACAUUUCUGGCGGUACUUUUGGUCACUUCCGUCCGCCAUUUUGAUUUCAGGGGAAAUUGUGUUUAGCAAGAAACUGCUCGAUUUUAAGGGAAAAAUGAAUAAAUUAAAUAGUUUUUGAAUCCAGAUAAAAGUUAAUUUCGAGCCCACGGAGAAGUCAGCCUUAAGAUGCGUUUGACUGGUGACUCGGUGACGGACAGCUGUCUAUACACGUCACACUCGACCACCUGGUGACGACUGAUGAAGACGGAACGUCUUUGUUGAAAACAUGUCAGUACCUGGAGGGGGAAGUUCCAGCUUUGCCUUCCUGAGCUCCGUCAUGGACGCCUGCAGCUGCUCGAUUACAAAGUCGUCCUCGUAGUAGAAGUUUUUGGACAGAGUCACCUGCAGGAACUCCACCAGCUCCUCCAUGGACAGCUUCAUCAGGUGUUCUGAAGCACUGGAAGAACCACUUCAUGGUGUACAGGCUGGUGAACACUUCCUGGUUAUCCUGCCAAAACAGACCAAAUAUCAGCUGGGAGCAUGACCCAGUUUCAGUCUCACUGAACCCAAACAUGUUGACUACUACAGCGCUGACUACAUCUUCAUGCUUUUUCACAUUGGGCAAGAACAGAUACGAAAAAGUUGGUCGUUAAUAGCCCCAACUUCACAAAAAAGUGCUCCGGCAAAAAUUUGAAGCCAACAAAACGGAUACAGAGUGCCGCAGAGGCCAGACUGGACCGAAUGCGGUGUGAGUGCCUCUUUUCAAGACUGACAACCACACCGGAACCGGACCGGAUGUGGUGUGAGCCCGGAGUCACCACACUCUCUCACAUAAGUAAUUAUCACCUAUUUGUAUUAGUCCAUAGUUACUUUUUUUCUUGUUAACAGUUGUAUUUUUGGCUUCAAGCUACUUCACAGAAGAGUUCUGUUUAAGUCUUGAAGGAUAAUAAAAAAAAGUCAACCUGAA